rnacentral:rRNA from 1 species
UGGAGGUAGUGACAAUAAAUCACAAUGCGGGACUAUUCGUCUUGCAAUUGGAUUGAGAACAAUGUACAACUCUUAUCGAUAAGCCAUUGGAGGGCAAGUCUGGUGCCAGCAGCCGCGGUAAUUCCAGCUCCAAUAGCGUAUAUUAACGUUGUUGCAGUUAAAAAGCUCGUAGUUGAAGUGUGGGUGGUGCCAUCUGUGAAGCUUCGGCUUCUAAGAUGAUCACUACCCCCUUCCAGUAUCCAGUAGUGGGUAUUCAGUUACUUGCUACUGUGUGUUGGUCAUUUACUGUGAGAAAAUUAGAGUGUUCAAAGCAGGCGUUUGCUUGAAUAGAUUAGCAUGGAAUAAUAAUUGAAGGCUUUCGUGUUCGAUUUGAUUGGUUUGUUCAUGGAAGCAAGGUUAAAAGGAACAGUUGGGGGUAUUCAUAUUCACUAGUUAGAGGUGAAAUUCUCGGAUUUAUGGAAGAUGAACAAGUGCGAAAGCAA